rnacentral:rRNA from 1 species
UACGUAGGGUGCGAGCGUUAAUCGGAAUUACUGGGCGUAAAGCGUGCGCAGGCGGUUUUGUAAGCCAGAUGUGAAAGCCCCGGGCUUAACCUGGGAAUGGCAUUUGGGGCUGCAAGGCUUGAGUGCGGCAGAGGAGACUGGAAUUCCUGGUGUAGCAGUGAAAUGCGUAGAUAUCAGGAGGAAUACCGAUGGCGAAGGCAGGUCUCUGGGCAUUAACUGACGCUGAGGAGCGAAAGCAUGGGGAGCGAACAGG